rnacentral:sRNA from 1 species
CGGCCGGGCGGUGCGCGGCGGCGGUGGCGGCGGGGAAGAUGGCGGCGUCCUCCCUGGAGCAGAAGCUGUCCCGCCUGGAAGCAAAGCUGAAGCAGGAGAACCGGGAGGCCCGGCGGAGGAUCGACCUCAACCUGGAUAUCAGCCCCCAGCGGCCCAGGCCCAGGACUGUCUGGCGCCCCCCUCCCCCGGCCUGGGGGCUUGUCAGCCCCGUGCAGCGACGAUCUACGCACACGCGCACGCCUGGCUCGGGGACACCUGAGUUAUUGUGAUCACUCUAAGCCCUGCUCCUGCCCCGUCCCAACGAGCAGGUACCAGCCUUUUUAUCAUCGCUGCUUGGACAUCUGCACCAUUGACCUAACCGCUGCCCCGGCCGCAGAAUGGCAUCCCCCAGCCCCCAUGCUCUGUGUGUGUCCCCAUGUCCCUUCCCCUCACUCUCACUUUCUCUCUCACUCCACUCAAGCAGCGGUCAGCCCAGCCCAGUCUCUUCUUUGUCCUCCCUCCUCCUCUCGCUCCCUUCUUCCCGGCUCCACUUUGGACUCCCUGGAGGAGGAGGUGGGCUCCUCACUGAAUGGCCUUCGGUGGGGGGGUGCACGCCUGUGUGUGUGUAACUGAGAGAACGAGAAAGUUGGGCCUGGUGGGUGACCUGUGCCUAUGGAUCCCUCUCAACAACUAGGUGAACACAUAGCACCCCCCGGGUUCCAUACCAGCCAUGGGCGCCAGGGACACAGCAGUGAAUAGAACAGACGGAGCCCCUCUCCUCUGUAGCGGGGGCUGCAGUAGGGGGGCCCACUGGACAAGGAGCACAUUCCCACCAGAGAGAACAUUCUAGCUGGGUGAGCGGCGCUGCAGGAGGCCAGCCUGGGGGAACCUCUGGAGACGGUGGGAAUUGAACAAAGCCUCUGGGAGGCCAGGCAUGGUGGCUCAUACCUGUAAUCCCAACACUCGGGGAGGCUGAGGCAGGAGGAUCACCUGAGCCCGGGAGGUUGAGGCUACAGGGAGCCAUGAUCGCACCACUGCACCCCAGCCUGGGUGACAGUGAGAUCCUGUCUCAAAAAUUUAAAAACCGGGCCAGGCGCAAUGGCUCAUGCCUAUAAUUUUAGUACUUUGGGAGGCCAAGGAGGGCGGAUCACUUGAGGUCAGGAGUUCCAGACCAGCCUGGCUAACAUGGUGAAACCCUGUCUGCAUUAAAAAUACAAGAGAUUAGUCCAGGCGCAGUGGCUUACGCCUGUAAUCCCAGCACUUUGGGAGACCGAGGCGGGUGGAUCACCUGAGGUCGGGAGUUCGAGACCAGCCUGACCAACAUAGAGAAACUCCGUCUCCGCUAAAAAUACAAAAUUAGCCGGGCAUGGUGGCACAUGCCUGUAAUCCCAGCUAUUCGGGAGGCUGAGGCAGGAGAACCACUUGAACCUGGGAGGCGGAGGUUGCAGUGAGCUGAGAUCGCACCAUUGCACUUCAGCCUGGGCAACAAGAGCAAAACUCCAUCUCAAAAAAAAAAAUAAAUAAAA